AUAGAAGCAAGUGGCAAGUGGCGAGUUGAAGGCCCUGAGUCGUCAUUCAAUACCUACACGGAGUGCUCGUCGUGCCCAAUUCAAGUAGGCGACUGGAUAAUGCCCAUCCGGAUGUUGGAACUCAAUAAACUGGAGGCGUAUAACAUCAUUUUGGGCAUGGACUGGCUCUCGAAGUAUUACGCCACGAUCGAUUGUAAGAAUAAAUUGAUCACCUUUCGGGAGCCAGGACAGAAGGAGUUCGUUUAUCGAGCUUGUAAAAGCUCUUGCUUCGUCGCGACGGUAUCGGCGACGAGAGCUAGAAAGUUGGUCAACGGCGGCUGCGUAGCAUUUUUGGCGACCGUCGUGGAAGUGGACCGAGUGGUUCCGAAUUUAGAGGAAUUAUCGGUGGUGCAGGAAUUUCCAGAUGUAUUUCCCGCGGAGUUACCGGGGAUGCCGCCGGAUCGGGAGAUCGAGUUCGUUUUAGACUUGGCUCCCGGGACGGCGCCGAUCUCAAAGGCCCCAUACCGUAUGGCGCCAGCAGAGUUAAGGGAACUGAGAGAUCAGUUGCAAGAAUCCUCGACAAGGGGUUUAUCAGGCCGAGCGUGUCGCCGUGGGGAGCCCCGGUGUUGUUCGGCGUUUCGACUCUGCGUGGAUUAUCGAGAGUUGAAUAGGGUCACGAUAAAGAAUAAGUACCUGUUGCCCCAAAUCGACGAUUUAUUUGAUCAGUUACAGGGAUCACGAGUUUACUCGAAGAUGGACCUACAAUCCGGCUAUCAUCAGUUAAAGAUUAAGUCGGAGGAUGUUCAGAAGACCGCGUUUCGCACGCGGUAUGGACACUAUGAGUACACGGUUGUGCCUUUGCUCGCUAAUGCCCCGGCAGCAUUCAUGGAUCUAAUGAACCGUGUGUUCAAAGCGUGCUUGGACCGAUUUGUCGUGGUCUUCAUACACGACAUCUUGGUCUAUUCGCGGAGUGACGAGGAGCACGCGGAGCAUUUGCGGAUAAUGCUUCAAAUCCUUCGGGAGGAGAAGCUAUUCGCAAAGCUAAAGAAAUGUGACUUCUGGCUUCGAGAGGUUGCCUUUCUGGGGCACGUGAUUUCCGAGAGCGGCGUUUCGGUUGACCCAAGGAAAGUCGAAGCAGUCGAGAAUUGGCCGCGUCCAACAAACGUUACGGAGGUUCGAAGCUUCAUAGGCUUAGCGGGCUACUAUCGACGGUUUGUGGAGGGUUUUUCGAAGAUUGUGACUCCGCUUACCCGUCUGACGCAGAAGGGCGUCAAGUUUUUUUGGAGCGACGAAUGUGACCGAAGCUUCAAUGAGUUGAAGAGAAGGUUAACGUCGGCUCCGAUACUCGCCUUACCGGUGCAGGGCGAGGACUUUGCGGUCUAUAGUGAUGCAUCCUAUCUGGGUUUGGGGUGUGUCCUGAUGCAAGGCGGGAGAGUGAUAGCUUAUGCGUCCCGUCAGUUAAAGGACCAUGAGAAGAAUUAUCCCAUUCAUGACUUGGAGUUGGCGGCGGUGAUCUUUGCGCUGAAGCUGUGGAGGCACUACCUAUAUGGUGCGCACUGCGAGAUCUACACCGACCACAAAAGUCUGAAAUAUCUAUUUACCCAGAAGGAGUUGAAUAUGCGUCAACGGCGGUGGUUGGAACUGUUAAAGGAUUACGAUGUUGAUAUCCUCUACCACCCCGGCAAGGCAAAUGUGGUCGCGGAUGCGCUUAGCAGAAAGUCGGCGAAGAACCUCGCUUUUGAUGUUACCCAACAAACACCCUUAUGGCUGGAUAUGGAGCGGCUGGACCUAGAAGUGGUCGCUCCCGAGGUCCCGACUCAGUUGAUGGUACUCGUUGUUCAACCGACCUUGUUGGAGAGGAUCAAGAACUUGCAAUCUGCGGAUCCAAGUCUCCAAAAGGUGCGGCGUAAUAUCGAGGAAGGUCAAGGCGGCGAUUUCAGUGUGGACGCCGGUGGCGCGCUUCGGUUUCAAAACCGGUGGUGUGUGCUCGAAAGUGAAGAGCUUCGCGAGCUGAUUUUGCAGGAAGCCCACCGGUCUCCAUAUGCUAAUCACCCGGGUGGCACCAAGAUGUAUCAUGAGUUGAGAGCACUCUAUUGGUGGUCGGGGAUGAAAGUUGAUAUUGGGCGCUUCGUGGCGAAGUGUUUGACUUGUCAGCAAGUGAAAGCGGAGUGCCGGUUUCCAGUGAGGACCGGUCCCUUACUGCGAAAAUGCCCAGUGAGGACUGCUGCAGAGGAUGAAAAGUUGAGGGGGCUAUUUGCAAAGUUGCCUAUAUGAGAGGUGGGGGACCCCUCUCUCCCUCUCAUUUGCUAUCUCCCUCUCACACUCUUUCCCUCUCUCUUUCUAGAAUGAAAGGAAAAGAAGAAGAGAAGGGAAAGAAGGAAAAGAAGAGAAAGAGGAAGGAGAAGACCAAGGAGAAAAAGAGGAUCAUCGUUUUCCCUCUCUCCUUCAAGCUAGAGCAAGCUUGGAGCUUGGUAUAGAGGUAAGUGAAAGUUUUGAGGAGCCCAAGGAUCUAUUUAGAUUGUAUCUAUCACCUAGAGAGGGGUGAAUAGGUGUACCGGCCAAAAACCACAAAUCUCGAUGCAAUAAAAAUAAAUGCGGAAAAUAAAAAGCACACCGAGAUUUACGUGGGAAAACUCCAACUUGGAGAAAAACCCACGGGACCAACACGCGAAAAAAUAAUUCACUAAGAGAAAAGAUUACAAGGUGAUUACCGACUCCACGGACUCAACCUCUCUUAACCUCCUAUGAAUCUCGCGCNAGCACCCCCGCCUCAUCAUGGAGGGGCCCCAUAUGUUCCCGUAUCAGUGGGACGCGCACUGAUGCCGCGUCAACCGGAGGUGACUCGAUCAGCGCCGAGCGGACGGGUAUUCGCCGCUCAGGCCCAAGCCGAGGAGUCUGCCCAAGCCGAUGAGCCUAAUGUUGUGGCAGGUAUGGUUUUGAUUAACGGAGUUCGCUCCAGGGCUAUGUUUGAUACAGGCACCACGCAUUUGUUCAUUAGUAGAGCAUUUGCACGCAUGCAUGACAUACACAUAGAAGCAAGUGGCAAGUGGUGAGUUGAAGGCCCUGAGUCGUCAUUCAAUACCUACACGGAGUGCUCGUCGUGCCCAGUACAAGUAGGCGACUGGAUAAUGCCCAUCCGGAUGUUGGAACUUAAUAAACUGGAGGCGUAUGACGUCAUUUUGGGCAUGGACUGGCUCUCGAAGUACUACGCCACGAUCGAUUGUAAGAAUAAAUUGAUCACCUUUCGGGAGCCAGGACAGAAGGAGUUCGUUUAUCGAGCUUGUCGAAGCUCUUGCUUCGUCGCGACGGUAUCGGCGACGAGAGCUAGAAAGUUGGUCAACGGCGGCUGCGUAGCAUUUUUGGCGACCGUCGUGGAAGUGGACCGAGUGGUUCCGAAUUUAGA
rnacentral:lncRNA from 1 species